rnacentral:rRNA from 1 species
UACGGAGGGGGCGAGCGUUAUUCGGAAUUAUUGGGCGUAAAGGGCGCGUAGGCGGCUGGGCAAGUCAAAGGUGAAAUCCCUCGGCUCAACUGAGGAACUGCCUUUGAAACUGCCUGGCUUGAGGCCGGGAGGGGGUAGCGGAAUUCCCAGUGUAGCGGUGAGAUGCGUAGAUAUUGGGAGGAACACCAGUGGCGAAGGCGGCUACCUGGACCGGUUCUGACGCUGAUGCGCGAAAGCGUGGGUAGCAAACAGG